UUCUGGACGUCGACCGGCGCACGGGUGAGUAUCGCGUAUCCAACCUGCCCCUUACUUGGGGAUACCCCGUUGAAAGACGGCCUAAUACCCGAUGUGUUCCAUUGACGGCAUCCGAUAUGAAACAAAGGUUCUCCGGUAAGGGAUGGGGAUGCGUCUGAUUAGCUAGUUGGCGGGGCAACGGCCCACCAAGGCGACGAUCAGUAGGGGUUCUGAGAGGAAGGUCCCCCACAUUGGAACUGAGACACGGUCCAA
rnacentral:rRNA from 1 species